GACGAACGCUGGCGGCGUGCCUAAUACAUGCAAGUUGAGCGCUGAAGGUUGGUACUUGUACCAACUGGAUGAGCAGCGAACGGGUGAGUAACGCGUGGGGAAUCUGCCUUUGAGCGGGGGACAACAUUUGGAAACGAAUGCUAAUACCGCAUAAAAACUUUAAACACAAGUUUUAAGUUUGAAAGAUGCAAUUGCAUCACUCAAAGAUGAUCCCGCGUUGUAUUAGCUAGUCGGUGAGGUAAAGGCUCACCAAGGCGAUGAUACAUAGCCGACCUGAGAGGGUGAUCGGCCACAUUGGGACUGAGACACGGCCCAAACUCCUACGGGAGGCAGCAGUAGGGAAUCUUCGGCAAUGGACGAAAGUCUGACCGAGCAACGCCGCGGGAGUGAAGAAGGUUUUCGGAUCGUAAAACUCUGUUGGUAGAGAAGAACGUUGGUGAGAGUGGAAAGCUCAUCAAGUGACGGUAACUACCCAGAAAGGGACGGCUAACUACGUG
rnacentral:rRNA from 1 species